UUGUUAAUUUAAUGUUUUCCAUCAGGUCUACGACCACAAAUUCACCCGUAGGGAAUUUCUCCACUGAAAAUGUCAUGAAUGGCUUUAGUGCUGACACCAGUCCGCCUUUAAGUGAGAAUGGAUCUGGCAUAAAGGGGAAGGAUACAACAGAGAUGCAUUCAUCCCAUUCCAAUAAUGAUGCAGCCCAUAGUUCAGAUAACCUCAAUGAAUUUUCUGACAGCUUUGUGCAUUGGGUCACGAACGGAGAGACACUUUGUUUUUAAUUUCCGGAAAUUAGAGAACACACAAUUUUUCCAGGCAAAAUGAUUCGGAUUCCCAAGAUUCCACCUCAAAAAGGAAAACAGAGAGUGGGAUUCAGGCCUUCAUCUGUAAGAUAUCCCUUGACUUUAUUCCUUCUGAGCCAUUUGUACAAUUUGGUUUAAUUUGGUUACGGUUCUAUCUUAUUCCUUGUUGUAGUCUGAUAGAAAGUACUAUGAGUAGUUCAAGGUAUAAUUCUUUUGGAGCACUGUUCCGUUGUUUGUGAAAUAUUACAGUUUCUAUCAUGUAAAUAUUUAAUAUACAUAUUGUUUGAGCUCAUCAAUAUCCUUGUUUCAUCACC